GAUGAACGCUGGCGGCGUGCCUAAUACAUGCAAGUCGAGCGAACAGACGAGGAGCUUGCUCCUCUGACGUUAGCGGCGGACGGGUGAGUAACACGUGGAUAACCUACCUAUAAGACUGGGAUAACUUCGGGAAACCGGAGCUAAUACCGGAUAAUAUAUUGAACCGCAUGGUUCAAUAGUGAAAGACGGUUUUGCUGUCACUUAUAGAUGGAUCCGCGCCGCAUUAGCUAGUUGGUAAGGUAACGGCUUACCAAGGCGACGAUGCGUAGCCGACCUGAGAGGGUGAUCGGCCACACUGGAACUGAGACACGGUCCAGACUCCUACGGGAGGCAGCAGUAGGGAAUCUUCCGCAAUGGGCGAAAGCCUUACGGAGCAACGCCGCGUGAGUGAUGAAGGUCUUCGGAUCGUAAAACUCUGUUAUUAGGGAAGAACAAAUGUGUAAGUAACUAUGCACGUCUUGACGGUACCGAAUCAGAAAGCCACGGCUAACUACGUG
rnacentral:rRNA from 1 species